rnacentral:lncRNA from 1 species
GCCUUUCCACGGGCCCCCCCACCUUACCGGGUUGCGGAGAAAAGUUCCGCCUUGAGGAGGGGAGGAAAUUCAACCCCCAGACUUAUUCCAGUCCUUGGACUCGCAUUCCGGUGGUUUCACGGCCUUCCGGCCUUCCCACCCGGAGCCAACCCAGACUUGGGUGAAACCAAGAGCACUGGGAGAGUCAAAUUUCCCAAUUCAAGGCGAAGGUUGCCGCGGUUUCUUCCCUCAAUUUGUUAUUCCGGACUGGAAUCCUUGCCUUGCCUUCCCUUCCCCCUUCCCCCACCCGGUUUUUCGGAAGCCCAGAGUUGAGUGUGGUGCAAGAUUCUUGGGAGCAGGGAUUGGCGGGGGAAGCGGGUAGGGGCAGCUGGGGGGGGGGGGGAGUUCAGGAAGACGCGGACAAACGUUGGUGCCACCCUCCAGACGCCUCAGAUGCACAGGCAGACACCGUGCGCCCAGACCCCUCCACCCCGUUGGAUCUGGCCAGGAGUCCAGCUUGGGAUGGAGAAACUGAGGUGGAGUACGGUUAAGAGACUUGCCCAGGGUCACCCUGCAUCUGAGGUAGGAUUUGAAUUCAAGGCUUCCUAAUUUCAGUGUUCUCUCCACUUUAU